rnacentral:rRNA from 1 species
AUGACCGACGGCAGCGUUGUCAAUGCCGUUCCCUCAGCGGAGGACGCCCAGGAGCACCCCGUCGCCGCGCCGGCCCCCGCCCCCGGUGCAGACAAAGGAAAAGGCGAGGUGCAGCCCUGGGAGGGGCGCCCGUGCGUGGUGCUUGCCCUCCAGGCGGCGACGGCGCCGGUGGAACCCAAACUCAAGAGACGCCGCCAGGCCCCUGCACCGGCCGCCAACAGAGAGCGGUUGGAGUCCCGCGAGGGCCACGUCGCGGUGGAUACGCUCCCGACGACGCCGGUGCCCCCGCCUGUCUGCAACAACCACCUGGUGAGUCGCCUCCUCUCCCUUGCUGGAUCCUGCACCGUGCGUGGAUCCUCGUACUCCAGCUCUGCAUCCGCUAGCUAG